CCUACGGGUGGCUGCAGUGGGGAAUAUUGGACAAUGGGCGCAAGCCUGAUCCAGCCAUGCCGCGUGAGUGAUGAAGGCCCUAGGGUUGUAAAGCUCUUUCGCCAGGGACGAUAAUGACGGUACCUGGAUAAGAAGCCCCGGCUAACUUCGUGCCAGCAGCCGCGGUAAUACGAAGGGGGCUAGCGUUGUUCGGAAUCACUGGGCGUAAAGCGCACGUAGGCGGAUCUUUAAGUCAGAGGUGAAAUCCCAAGGCUCAACCUUGGAACUGCCUUUGAUACUGGGGAUCUUGAGUCCGGGAGAGGUGAGUGGAACUGCGAGUGUAGAGGUGAAAUUCGUAGAUAUUCGCAAGAACACCAGUGGCGAAGGCGGCUCACUGGCCCGGAACUGACGCUGAGGUGCGAAAGCGUGGGGAGCAAACAGGAUUAGAUACCCCUGUAGUC
rnacentral:rRNA from 1 species